GUCUGUCAAGUCGGAUGUGAAAUCCCCGGGCUCAACCUGGGAACUGCAUUCGAAACUGGCAGGCUAGAGUCUUGUAGAGGGGGGUAGAAUUCCAGGUGUAGCGGUGAAAUGCGUAGAGAUCUGGAGGAAUACCGGUGGCGAAGGCGGCCCCCUGGACAAAGACUGACGCUCAGGUGCGAAAGCGUGGGGAGCAAACAGGAUUAGAUACCCUGGUAGUCCACGCCGUAAACGAUGUCGAUUUGGAGGUUGUGCCCUUGAGGCGUGGCUUCCGGAGCUAACGCGUUAAAUCGACCGCCUGGGGAGUACGGCCGCAAGGUUAAAACUCAAAUGAAUUGACGGGGGCCCGCACAAGCGGUGGAGCAUGUGGUUUAAUUCGAUGCAACGCGAAGAACCUUACCUG
rnacentral:rRNA from 1 species